CAAAUAACAAUUUAUUCCAGCAAUAAUACCCUUACCCUUAUUUAAUAGAAAUUCUCUAUAGCAAAUUACUGUGGUAUGUAAAAAUACACAUAGAGAAAAGAACAAAAAAGAAAAAAGGAUCCUCGGGUUAAUCCAUUUUUGCUAGUUGAGUAGGAAAAUACGAAUUAGGGCCUUAGGUCGAUUUAGUUCGGGAAAAGGGGAAGAAAAUUCUAUGAACCUUUCCUUUUUUCGUUAAGUUCAAGUCUGACGAGAGUAAUAUUCUACAACUAACAACUCAUUUAUUUUGAGACCUACCCACUUCCUAUCUAGGAUUUUAUUUACUAGUCCUUUAUAUUCCAAUGUGUCAAUCGUCAAAUGCUUUGGCAAUUUUCCCGGGUCGGAUGAAGCAAUAGAAUUUUGAACCAAACUUUGUGAUCUUUGGUUAUCUUUCGUAGUAAUAAUAUCUCGAGGUUUGCAACGAAAACUUGGUAUAUUAACUAUACGACCAUUAACCAAAAUAUGUCUAUGGUUGACUAAUUGGCGGGCCCCAGGAAUGGUUGCCGCCAUACCCAAUCGAAAAAGGAUAUUAUCCAAACGCAUUUCAAGUAAUUGUAGUAAAACCUGACCUGUGGACCUUUUUGCUUUUCCAGCAAUAUGUACAUAUCUAAGUAAUUGUCGUUCUGUCAGACCAUAAUGAAAACGCAAUUUCUGUUUUUCUUGAAGACGAAUACGAUAUUGCUCCUUUUUCCCAGAAUGGAAUUUCUUUUUCAGAUUACUUCCGGAUUUAGGUGUUUUUCUAGUGAGUCCUGGUAAAGCUCCCAGACGGCGUAUUUUUUUUAAACGAGGUCCUCGAUAAUGGGACAUCAAGACUCCUUUUUUAUUUUAUUGAAAUUUCAUUUUACACAAUUAAUUUCAUUGUAUUUACAUUACGGAAUACAUCGAAAUUAAAACUGAAUUAAACUAAAGGAUAAACAGAGUAAAAUCAACUAAAGUACCAUAAAAAAUAGAAUUUCAUCAACAUCUGGAUUUUUUGUAUAUAUAUUAUUUAUUUUAUUCUUUUGUAUCUAGCAAAAUUGUAAGGUAGAAAACAAAAAAGAUCCUGGAUUCCCCAUUUAAUCCGAAAAAAAAAGAGAUUCUUGUUCGUAGAACAUCGAUAACGAAAAAAAAGCCGACUACCGGAUUUGAACCGAUGACCCUCGCAUUACAAAUGCGAUGCUCUAACCUCUGAGCUAAGUGGGCUUAGAUAGCAGAAAUAGUGUAACAAAUAGAAAUAGGUAUAGUAUAGAAAUCCGUAAAAUCUGAGAUCUUAGUUAUUAAUCUUAGCUAUUAACUAGUUCUCAAUUUGAAGUUCUACUUAAAAGAAUACUAGAACUUUUUAAAGAUAAAGUUAGCUUGAUAUGCUUAACUAGAGGAUAUCCUUAAAUAAAAGUAUAGAAUUUAUUGAACUUUCUUUUUAUUUCUCUAAUUCGCAAAUCUUUUUUCUAAGAGUUGAUUCCAAUUUCUAUAUUGAAUUUGAUUUCAGAUAUUUUCAAUUUGAUAUAGCUCGGACGAAUAAUCUAAUACAUAGAAAAGAAAUAUAUAUAUAUAUAUAUAUAUAUAUUAUGAAAUAUAUUAAAGAUAUAAUAAUAUAUAUAUAUUAAAGAAAUAAUAAGGGGAAAAUACGAAUUUAUUGGUGUUUUCAUUCAAUCAUUAUAGACAUUUUUUUAGAUCUUUUUUUAUUUGUUAAUAAUUUAAGGAUUCCUAUUUCUCUAAGGAGAACAUAAAGUCAUAGCAAAUAAAAUUGCCAAUUUUGAGUAGAAAAAAAUGAAUAUCAAGCGUUAUAGUAUGAUUUUUAAUACUCUAAAAAAGUAAGAUGAGCGGUGGGGGAGAGAAAUUUUUUUGGAUAUAUUGAUUCGGAUUGAAUUGCAAAUACAGCAACAAUAGAAUCAAUGCAAUUCUGAAUUGCAAUAAACAAGCGUGGUCUCUCAAAUAGAAUCGAACUGCUAGAUGACGUCGAGUGAUGAAUUCAACGAUUCCAAAAAAACUAAGAGAUGGAUGAAAUUACGCAAGGAAUCCAGGUCUCAAAAAAAAAGGAAAAUGGGGAUAUGGCGAAAUCGGUAGACACUACGGACUUGAUUGUAUUGAGCCUUAGUAUGGAAACCUGCUAAGUGUUAACUUCCAAAUUCAGAGAAACCCUGGAAUUAAAAAAGGGCAAUCCUGAGCCAAAUCCGUGUUUUGAGAAAACAAGGGGUUCUCGAACUAGAAUCCAAAGGAAAAGGAUAGGUGCAGAGACUCAAUGGAAGCUGUUCUAACGAAUCGAGUUAAUUUAUUUAGGUUGUUUUGGUAGUGGAAAUCCUUUUAAAUUAGAGAAAGAAGGGAUUUUUACAUCUAAUAAACACGUAUAGAUACUAACAUAGUAAACGAUUAAUCACAGAAUCCAAGUAUAACAUAGGUUCUUUAUUCUUUUUUAGAAUGAAAUUAGGAAGGAUUAUGAAAUAAAAAAUUAAUAAAUUUUUUAGAAUUAUUGUGAAUCCAUUCUAAUUGAAUCUUGAGUAAUCAAAUCCUUCAAUUCAAAGUACUUGAGAUCUUUUAAAAAGUGGAUUAAUCGGACGAGGACAAAGAGAGAGUCCCAUUCUACAUGUCAAUACUGACAACAAUGAAAUUUCGAGUAAAAGGAAAAUCCGUCGACUUUAUAAGUUGUGAGGGUUCAAGUCCCUCUAUCCCCAAAUCCUUUUUAUUCCCCAACUAUCCUCUUUUAUUCCCUAACUUUUAUCCUCUUUUUUUCUUUUUAUCAAUGGGUUUAAGAUUCAUUAGCUUUCUCAUUCUACUCUUUCACAAAGGAGUGCGAAGAGAACUCAAUGGAUCUUAUCCUAUUCAUUGAAUAGAUUUCUUUUUUAUUAGAGUAUCCGCAAGGACUCUCGGUUAUUAACUCUAUUUUUAAGUAUUAUUAAGUAAUCCAUGCACAAUGCAUAGGACCACCCCCCCCCCCCCAUUUUUCAAUUUGGAAUUUGAAAUACUUUAAUUGAUUUUUGAGUCCCUUUAAUUGACAUAGAUACAAAUACUCUACUAGGAUGAUGCACAAGAAAAGGUCAGGAUAGCUCAGUUGGUAGAGCAGAGGACUGAAAAUCCUCGUGUCACCAGUUCAAAUCUGGUUCCUGGCAGAGAAAAAAAAAGAUCUAUCGAAUAGGUUUUGAUAAAAAUGCCUCAAGAUGGAUUAGGAUACAUAUUCGUUAAUACUAUAAAUAAAGUCUGAUUUAUUCAUCUAGGUGGAUAAGUCUCUAAUAUAGAGGCACUUCUUUUUCUUUUUAGAGAAGGGUAAAAAUCUCUGGUUCUUUUCUUUAUGGUACAGAAGGAGGUGAGAUUAGGUUCCCCUUUAUUUUUUUUUUGCAUUUCUUAAUUUUGUAUUCUGCAUAUUACGACGAAUAUUUUUUUAUUCUUGCUUAUCUUACUUUUCCAAUUGUGCUAAGUCAUGCGCGCGAUACAAAGUUCGUGGUAGAGAACUUCUUUGAGUCAUCAUAUUUUUCUGUUCAUAUGAGGGAAAUUCAUAUGUGAUUUUCCAAAUAAGGGAAUCCAAAUGAAACCCUUUUUUUGCUCAGUCUAUCUGGACUACUUUUGUAUAAUAGGAAUUAAUUCGAAAUAGGUAUUCCGUUUCAUCUAGGAACAAAACGUAAAAUUUUUCCUUUACUUGAAUAAAAUCUGGAGUUGUGUUGUAUAAGUCCGCAUGAAUUUCUUAUCAUUCAAUGAGCAUCUUGUAUUUCAUAGAAAUUGGGGGUUAUAUAGUCCUUACGUAAGGGCCAGCCUACCCAACUUUCAGGCAUUAGGAUACGUUUAAGGCGCGGAUGAUUAUCAUAAGAGAUUCCCACCAUAUCAUAAGAUUCGCGUUCUUGAAAAUCGGCACUUCUCCAAAUCCAGAAGACAGACGGAAUUCUAGGAUUAUCCUUUUGGGCAAAGACUUUUAUGCAUACUUCUUCUGGGUUAUCUAUGCCAUACUGUAUUCUCGUAAGAUGAUACACGCUAGCUAAAGAUCCACCGGGUGCUACAUCAUAAGCACAUUGGGAGCGUAAAUAAUUGUAACCAUAUACGUAUAAAAUGACAGCAAUGGAAUCCCAAUCCCCCGCUUUUAUUUGUAAAGUCUCUAUUCCUCGGUGAUCAAAGCCCAAAGAUCUAUGAACCACCUUAUGUUUGACUAGCCAAUUAGAUAACCAACCCUGCUGCAUUGUCUUGAUCUCUCCCUCUUUGUUUUGUAUAAAUAUUUCACAUUUCGGAUGCAAGUUUCAAAGAUUGCCUUGCUUUUUAUUUUUCUAGACAAAAGAACCCCCCUCCUAAUUCACUAAUUUGUAGGAAGGUACUAUACUUUUGGAUUUGUAAAAAAUUUCAGAAGAUAUAUCUAAAGUAGAUGGUGAUUGAUAGAGCAAUUCUUGCUCGUAAGUUCCAGUAUGAGUACUGCGCCGAACAUAAAGCUUGUGACUGGUAGUAAAACAUCGGUUUUUAUUUUGAGAUCGAAUUUGAUCCUCAACUAUUUCUCGCGAUAUCUUCUUACGAAGUUUUGUUAGGGCAUCUAUAACCGCCUCCGGUUUAGGUGGGCAACCCGGCAAGUAGACAUCCACAGAAAUUAACUUAUCAACUCCUCGAACAGUACUAUAGGAAUCCGUACUGAACAUUCCCCCUGUAAUAGUACAAGCUCCCAUAGCAAUGACGUAUUUUGGUUCAGGCAUUUGCUCGUAUAACCUCACUAAAGAAGGAGCCAUUUUCAUUGUUACUGUACCAGCUGUUAAAAUUAGGUCCGCUUGCCUAGGACUUGAUCUUGGUACCAAUCCAUAACGAUCAAAGUCGAAUCGCGAGCCUAUUAAUGAAGCAAAUUCAAUGAAACAACAACUGGUACCGUAUAGAAGGGGCCAUAAACUGGAGAGUCUUGACCAAUUUGAAAGAUCGUUUGGUGUAGUUGAAAUAACAGAAUUGGAACUUGUUUGGUCAAGUAAAGGAAACUCAAUCAAACUCAUAACUGUCUCAAUGGAAUCUUUUUCUUCUUCUUUUUUUUCUAA
rnacentral:lncRNA from 1 species